AGAGUUUGAUCCUGGCUCAGAUUGAACGCUGGCGACGUGCUUAACACAUGCAAGUCGUGCGAGAAAGUAGGCUUCGGUCUAUGAGUAGAGCGGCGCACGGGUGAGUAACGCGUGGAUGAUCUACCCUUGAGUUCGGGAUAACGGUGCGAAAGCGCCGCUAAUACCGUAUAACAAUCCAUUCAUCGUGGGUUCAAAGCAGGCCUCUUCGUGAAAGCUUGCGCUUGGGGAUGAGUCCGCGUCCCAUUAGCUUGUUGGCGGGUAACGGCCACCAAGGCUACGAUGGGUAGCUGGUCUGAGAGGAUGAUCAGCCACACUGGAACUGAAACACGGUCCAGAC
rnacentral:rRNA from 1 species